UAACACAUGCAAGUCGAGGGGAAACGACAUCGAAAGCUUGCUUUUGAUGGGCGUCGACCGGCGCACGGGUGAGUAACGCGUAUCCAACCUGCCCACCACUUGGGGAUAACCUUGCGAAAGUAAGACUAAUACCCAAUGAUAUCUCUAGAAGGCAUCAGAAAAAGAUUAAAGAUUUAUCGGUGAUGGAUGGGGAUGCGUCUGAUUAGCUUGUUGGCGGGGUAACGGCCCACCAAGGCGACGAUCAGUAGGGGUUCUGAGAGGAAGGUCCCCCACAUUGGAACUGAGACACGGUCCAAACUCCUACGGGAGGCAGCAGUGAGGAAUAUUGGUCAAUGGGCGAGAGCCUGAACCAGCCAAGUAGCGUGCAGGAUGACGGCCCUAUGGGUUGUAAACUGCUUUUAUAAGGGAAUAAAGUGAGUCUCGUGAGGCUUUUUGCAUGUACCUUAUGAAUAAGGACCGGCUAAUUCCGUGCCAGCAGCCGCGGUAAUACGGAAGGUCCGGGCGUUAUCCGGAUUUAUUGGGUUUAAAGGGAGCGUAGGCCGGAGAUUAAGCGUGUUGUGAAAUGUAGACGCUCAACGUCUGCACUGCAGCGCGAACUGGUUUCCUUGAGUACGCACAAAGUGGGCGGAAUUCGUGGUGUAGCGGUGAAAUGCUUAGAUAUCACGAAGAACUCCGAUUGCGAAGGCAGCUCACUGGAGCGCAACUGACGCUGAAGCUCGAAAGUGCGGGUAUCGAACAGGAUUAGAUACCCUGGUAGUCCGCACGGUAAACGAUGGAUGCCCGCUGUUGGUCUGAAUAGGUCAGCGGCCAAGCGA
rnacentral:rRNA from 1 species